rnacentral:rRNA from 1 species
GUGUCCCUACGGGGCGCAGCAGUGGGGGAUAUUGCACAAUGGGGGAAACCCUGAUGCAGCGAUGCCGCGUGAAUGAAGACGGCCUUCGGGUUGUAAAGUUCUGUCGCAGGGGACGAAAAUGACGGUACCCUGCAAGAAAGCUCCGGCUAACUACGUGUCAGCAGCCGCGGUAAUACGUAGGGAGCAAGCGUUGUCCGGAAUUACUGGGUGUAAAGGGAGCGUAGGCGGGAGGAUAAGUUGAAUGUGAAAUCUAUGGGCUCAAAC